rnacentral:rRNA from 1 species
GAAACUGCCCAGUAGUGGGGGAUAGCCCGGGGAAACCCGGAUUAAUACCGCAUACGCCCUUUGGGGGAAAGCAGGGGAUCUUCGGACCUUGCGCUAUUGGAUGUGCCUAUGUCGGAUUAGCUAGUUGGUGGGGUAAGAGCCUACCAAGGCGACGAUCCGUAGCUGGUCUGAGAGGAUGAUCAGCCACAUCGGGACUGAGACACGGCCCGAACUCCUACGGGAGGCAGCAGUGGGGAAUAUUGGACAAUG